CCUACGGGAGGCAGCAGUGAGGAAUAUUGGUCAAUGGACGCAAGUCUGAACCAGCCAUGCCGCGUGCAGGAAGACGGCUCUAUGAGUUGUAAACUGCUUUUGUACGAGGGGAAACGCAGAUACGCGUAUCGGUCUGAAAGUAUCGUACGAAUAAGGAUCGGCUAACUCCGUGCCAGCAGCCGCGGUAAUACGGAGGAUUCAAGCGUUAUCCGGAUUUAUUGGGUUUCCAGGGUGCGUAGGCGGUCGGAUAAGUUAGCGGUGCAAUCCCGAGGCUCAACUUCGGAAUUGCCUCUGAUACUGUUCGGCUAGAGCGUAGUUGCGGUAGGCGGCAUGUAUGGUGUAGCG
rnacentral:rRNA from 1 species